rnacentral:rRNA from 1 species
CGAGUUCUGUCAAAGAGAUUGUUGUAGUGACCCAUGCUACGAAGCGGUCUUUCUUGACCAAGGUUGGGACGGUCUACUACUAUUUCUAAGAUACAAGG